rnacentral:misc_RNA from 1 species
UACGGAGGGCGCGAGCGUUAAUCGGAAUUACUGGGCGUAAAGCGCUCGUAGGCGGCCAAGUGAGCCGGUUGUGAAAGCCCCGGGCUCAGCUUGGGAAUGGCAUCCGGAACUGUUUGGCUAGAGUGCAGAAGAGGAAGGUAGAAUUCCCGGUGUAGCGGUGAAAUGCGCAGAGAUCGGGAGGAAUACCAGUGGCGAAGGCGGCCUUCUGGGCCGACACUGACGCUGAGGUGCGAAAGCGUGGGUAGCAAACAGG